rnacentral:lncRNA from 1 species
ACAAAUACGCCACAUAGGAAAUGACAAAAAUAGCCUUACAUGCAGUUACAACUAAAGAACAAUGUUCUCUUGUUUAGGUAGCUAGUAACAGAACGACAUAGUUCACAAAGCAACAAAUAAACCAACAAUACCUUCUCGAAACACAAACUAACACAGCUAUGGUUACUACAACCAUUUUCAAGGAAGUGGAACUGCACCAGAAUCAUCUCCGGCACCAGGUCCACCACCACCAAUUCCACCGCCACCUAGAGCCGGCAAGCCAGCAAAACCAUUAGCAAGACCUCCAAAAGUUCCUACACCACCAGCAGCUGCACCAGGUCCACCAAAUUGGUAACCAGCACCUACACCUCCGAUCCCAUUGGAGGUGCCUAUGCCAAGUCCGGCGCCACCACCACCAAUGGGUUGGCCGUUGUUAUCGAAGCCAGAAAAGCCACCCAGUCCACCAAAACUGACAAUGUUCUUUUGUUCAGUUAGACCGACAGCAGCUUUGUUGGUGUCACUAGGAAGGUCUCUGGCAAUAGUACUUUCUACUACUACUGCUGUUAAAACAACCAGUAACAUGAAACGCCAGUUUGCCAUAUUCUUUUUUUAUAUUUGUUUACUUGGCUAUAAGCGUAUGUGUCGGAUGCAAGAUUUUUGAAUAUGGGAAUGCCCUUUUUAAAGCCAAAAUUGGGCAGUUGGACAGAGUAAAUGGCCUUAAUUUCUAGGGGUGUUUGGUCAAUUGGUAGGGCAAAAAAUAAUUUUCACCCAUAAACCUUCAAUUUAGCUGUCUUUUUUAUUUUUUUAUUUUUUGUACCUUGAGCGCCAAUUAUUUAUUUCGAUUGUAUUUUAUUUAUUAUCUAGAUGGUGAAAUCUGACGAACCACAUGCUCAAAUCUCUAUUUCAGUUGCAAGAAGAUCCAAUCUUUAAAUGGGAAAAUCCAUCAGAAAAUGGUCUGAAUUCAUAUAUUGAGUGUAAAACAAUCGGUCAAAAUGGUCUAAAUCCAUUACAAAAAAACCGAAGUUUCAGGCAAAAUCCGUCGCUAAUCUGUAACGCACGAACACCGCCCCGCAGUGGCAUUAUGUUAUCUGUCAUGGUAACAAGAACGGCUUGCAACACGAUUUUAAUCCAAUGAAAAUUGAGUUUGAUCCUUGACCAUAUUAAGACUAUACGGUACGAGUCACAAAAACAUCGGUAUGGCCGAGGUGGCACACCAAAACGGCGUUAUAACGCCGAGAACACCGCCCCCUCCUGUUAUGGCAAGGCAAGUUGUAAUGACAACACAAUGCAACGCCAUUUUCAACCAAUCAACUCCUCUUUCUUCUUCUUCUUUUCUUCAUCUCAAUGUCAUUCAUAUAAUUGAACACCACCCCAAAAAAAAGUGGUGGAGAUUAAAAGGUUUUUGGUGCUCACCUGGUCUCACAACGCUGUUGACCAUACCGAUUAGUGUAGCAAUCAAUUUUUCAAAAAAAAAGAAAUUUAUAAAAUCGUGGAGAUUAAAAGGUUCUUAAUAUUUUGUUACCUAUAAAAUACAUAAUGUCUACCUCAUUUUUAUUCACGAUAUUCUCUUAUCUUUCUCUAUAUUUUAUAAAAUUUCAAUACUUCUAGAAAAAUGGAUAUGUUCGACAUGUCCAACGAUGAUGAUAUUUUCGUCAGUACGACGUGGAACAUGCUUUUAGAGUUAUAAAGUCGAAGUGACACAUAGUUGAACAUGCGGUGCGACCAUAUGAGAUCGACAUACAAGAUACUAUGCAUGCAAGUAUUAUAAUGUAUAACAUGGUGAUUGAAGAUAAAUGACGAAAUAUUGCAGAGUAUAUGCAUACGGAAGCAAUACACGUGCAAUUUCAACCAGGAACAACGAGAUAUUUAUAUAGAGUCGUUGAUAUUCAAGACGCACGAAAACAUAUGCAACUUCGAGAAGACUUGGCGAAUUAUGUAAUACCCGUUCCAGGUAUGUUUCUUUUGGGAUUAUAUCAUUUUUAGACUCUCAAAAUAUGAGAUUUUUGGUGAACACGACGUGGUGACGAAGGAGCACCACGGUGUGGUCACAUCAGACAAGAAACGCGCAUCUAGUAUCCACCACGACAUGGCAACGGUUGGAGUGUAAAACCCUAAUUCUUGGGCCUAGAGCCCUAUUUAAAGGAUGUGAUGGCUAGAGUUUGUCCACCCUCAGCCUCCAUCACUCCUCAAAAACCAUAAACCAACCCUAGUCUCUUUGUGUUCAUCUUGAAGCUCAUUUGUGGUGUAUAUUGUUGAUAUGUUAAGUGUUAGAACUGCAUGCUAGUUUGUUGACUAGGGAUCUUCAGAAAUUGCAUAAUAUAAUUGCAUGAUUUGUGAUUCCUGAUAGCCUAGGGGAUUGUUUAGUUGUGUUAUAUGAAACUAACAUUAUUGCUGCUAGUAACUAAGUGUAUGCAUCAUGAUUGUACAUAAUUAGGAUUUUAAAGCCUUAGAAUGCUUGAUUUAGCCUUACUUCUUGUUCCUUGUUUGUAACGUCCCAUAAACCAUAGUAAAAAAAUUUCUUUUUUCAGAAGACAUUUUAAUAAAACCCAUAAAGUAAUCAACCGUUGUUUCAAAAUAAAGUCAUAAAAAUAAGAGUAUCAAUAUCAUCUCUCAAACAUAAAUUAGCAGGAGGAUGUGUACGAUCACACAUUCACCUUGCCCCGAUCAUCUGAAGUACCUAAAACAUUUAAAUCCACAACUGUAAGUCAAAUCUAAGUGAGUCCCCCCCCCCCAAAAAAAAACCCACACAACAAUACACAUACAAUGCAUGCACACAAGAGCCUUCAGUCUGCCUAGACCACCUUGUGAGGCCUACAGGAUGCCUGGACUACUCUACUAAGCCUACAGUAUACUGGAUCGCCUCGUAAGACCUAUAGUAGCUGGACCACUCCAUUGGGCCUACAGUCUGACUAGACCGCCUCAUAAGGCCUACAAUACACUGGAUCGCCCGAGUAUCUUGGCCUACAACACAAAGCAGGAUUGCCUCAACCCUAUCAUAAUAUGUCGACAUAUGUAAACAAAUAAAUAAUAACCAAUAAUACAUGUAAUCAUACAGAUCUACCAAUCUAACAGAUCGCUACAAUGUACCACCAUCUUAUACACUAGGAUGCAUAUUGCAGUACAAAGUAUAGUGAGAAAAAUCACAUCGCAUUCUAGCAGAUAAACAACAUAGCUCACACAAUCCAAGAAAUGGUGCUACAAGUCACAUAUAUAAGAAUCAGGGACCAGUUCUUAAUCUACAGCCAAAAUCCAUCAAAUUGACCUAAAGUCAAACUUGGUCAAAAAGUCAAAAGUCAACGUCAAAGUCAACAAUCAAAAGUCUAUAAGUUGGUCACCAUGUAGUGGCUAAGCAUUUUCGACGCCAUGGUGACCCCAUGCCAAAACAGUUGUGAAGACCACUUAGUGCCAUGUGGUGGAGGCUAAAUCUUCACGUCGUGGGAAAUGUCCUAACCAACUUAAUGCAUUAAGCUCUUAUCCUUCAAGCUACUUAUUCAUACGUUCUAGAAGGCUUUCUCUCAGUUAGAAAAAUCGGUGCUUUAUAGACAUGCAUAUUCAAUGCAUGUCUUGAACUCCAACUGUGUCAAAAUUGAUGAAAAUAAGGUCAAAAGCUCAUUCAAGUAAUCAAAACUCAAUCAUAUAUGACCUCAAGGAUCCAUAGAAUUGUCAACUUUAUGAGAUCCCAUUACACUAACUAAACCAAACAUGAAGAAUAAGAUAAAAGUCUAGAUCUAAAAACAUGACACAUAAUGAUUAGAUCUUGAAGACUCACAAUGGUCCAUAAUAUGUGUUAAAAUAUAGAGGAGGAGAUUGCUUGUUGGAACUACACUCAAUGGACCUCUUCUUCUCCUUCAAAGCACCAAAAUCACAACACCAAAGCUUCAAAAACUCAACAAUGGAGGUUAGGGUUCGUUUGGGGUAAAAGGGAGGUAAUGAAGGCUGAGGGUGUGUAAACCCUAGCCAUCAUAUCCAUUAAAUAGGGAUUAUAGCCUGAAAAAUUAGGUUUUUGCAUGCAGACGGAUGCCACGUCGUGUCCAAUAUCUUGCCACAUCGUGACAUUCAAGAAAAAUGCACAUUUCACUCGGGCGCCACCACGUUGUGGUGCUAUCAUAACCUCGUCGUGCCUACCACAAAGCCUUAUAUUUAAGCCUUAAAUGUCCACAUCCAUAAAAGUACUUAUACUUGGAAGUUGGUGUUACAUUGUUUGGUUGUGGGCUUAGGGUAGAAUCAAUUAUUUGACUGUCUAUCGAAUCCAAUAUUAUGUAUGAUUAUCAUACACAAGGAGAACGCACAGUUAAGGGAGGUUUCUUGAUUCGUGGGAGUGUGGUUUGGAGAAUCCUAUAGGAAACUAGGAAUUGGAAAUCACUCUUAGGAGUGUGUAUUGGGGCGUGAUAGUACGUCUAGUCAUAGUGGGCCUAGUGGCUAGGGACUUCGUGGCAAUCCUUGAGACAAAUACGGGUAGGUGUGGAAGGUAGUAUGGGCCUAUACUACUAGAAGCACAUGACUUGUAAGUGUGUCAUGGAAGGUUAAAAAUUAUGAUGAGUGCGUAAUUGAGCUUAUAGUGUGUUACCUUGUGUUUUAAUUUUAACGUGUCCCUAUUUGUUUUAAAUAUGGUGAUGACGAGAGGUUCCAGUUCAGGUGCUGAUGGCCCGGAGAGGCUAGGGUUGAGUGAUGAUGAGAUCUAAUAUUUUAACACUACAUAAGUGACUCUAGCAGUCAAGGAGGCGAUUCUGGAUAUGUUCGGGUCUAUCAUGACCACAAUGAUUGAGAUGUUCGACGAGCGUUAUGUUUUUAUCUCUGAUGGUGUUGACGCCGCAACCACUCGAGCUGUCACCAUUGCAGAACUUGAAGGAUGAGGGUUGAUGUGGUACCAGGAGUUCAGUAACAUGAAGCUCCUGAAGUUUGAUGGGUUCAAGGGCCCGAUUGUUGUUAUUAGGUGGAUAUCUAACCUUGAGGGGUAUUUCUAUAUAUGUUUGUGUCUGGAGAAUGUGACAUCCCUAAAUUUACGGUCAUUUUAAAACUCUUUGUUUAUGCUUAUUUAAAACAAAGUUUAUAUACAAAUGCGGAAUUUGGUCCCAUAAAAGUAUUUUCGUAGAAAUGUUUUUCAUUGAUUUAUAAAAAGCUUGGGAUGUCAUAAUUGAUACAAGAAACAUAAGCAUAAACGGAGACUUACAUUGUCUCAAUAUACUAACGAUUUACAUCUCCUUGAAUCUCUCAGCAGAUACAUAAAUCAUUAUCCAAGUAUCUUUAUUUAAUAACCCGUGAUUCAAAUAAACUAAGGGGGUCAGCUUGGGAAACCUGAUGCAUACAUAGGGUUUUCAACCCACAAUAAUAUAGUUAAUAUGUUUAAUUAUCAAACAAUUAACCCAAUAUUCCAUCCCUGCUAUCUUCUUUACUCUUAAGGAUUUAUCUUAAGGAUCAUCUAUGCUGACAGUACUAGUUCAGGGAUUUCUCCGCAAUACAUGUCAGUAGGUUUCUUUCUAAGGAUUUGUCAUAAGGAAUAGGCACGAAGUCCAUCGCUUCCAGUGUUUAGGUAUGAAGUCCAUCGUUGUCAGUGUUUAUCUACCAGACACUAAGUCCAUAGCUGCCAAUAUCUAUCUACUAGGAACUUAGUCUAUAGCUGCCAGUAUUCUACGAGACUAUCAUUAAUUAGUCUAGUAGUUGUCACCUAUGUUUUGCUAAGUGACUGCAUCGUUGGUACACCAGUAACAUUCCUAAAGUCGUGGCAUCUUAUCUUCGCCUACACACUAUGACAUCCUAUCUUUCAUUGUAUUAUGGCAUCUUUCACUACCCUUCGUAACCCAAUGUACAAUGUUUAUAGAAAUACAUAUGCGGUAUAAAUCAUAUAAACUUAUGUUUUUAUAACAUUUCAUCUAACACAUAACAUCUUUGCACAUAAGCACAUAUAGCAAUUAAUUAAUUAGAUAGUUUAUAUCUAUGUGCAAGAUGAAAGUAACUAUGCACUCACUUGUUAAAGUGAUGACUCGAAUCUCGGACAACGCUUCGCUUCUAGCAACUGACCUUUCAUUCGACGUAACCUAGUAUCAUUAUCACUAAGUCUUAGCCUAAUAUUCUACGUGACUGAAAAUAGCCUAGAUUCCUCAACAAUCCCAUUGUCUACUGAUCCAUAGUUGUUAAGAGACAACUAGGUAGGAUCAUGUCGGAGGUAGGGUCCAUUUGUGUAACACCUGAAAUCAGAUAGGUCAAGAAAGGAAAGGAAAACCCUAAGUUAAAGAGGGUUGACUCGUCGAGUCCCGGGAGGAACUCAGUGAGUCGGAGCGGGAUCCGGGUGUAAAGUAAGUGAUCGAAUCGGCGAGUCGGCAAGUGGACUCGGCGAGUCUGGUCUGGGUUGGGAAACCCUAAUUCUGGCACUUGGUACCCUAUUUAAACAUCUUAUUCUCUUCCUUAGGGCUCAUUUGUGGCUCCUAGAGUCCAGAACCCCAAAACCCUAGCCACCAUAGUCGUUUUUGGAGCAAGAUUUACCCUUGGUGAAGUAAUUUGGAGCUUGCAAGAGAAGAGAUUCAUAGUGGUGCAAGAGGAGGCCUUGGAUCCAGAGUUGGUGGAACUUUUUAGAGCAUUUGGAGGUAAUGAAUUGUUAUCCUUGGCUUUCUCCUUUCUAGAUCCAUCUUUCAUGGAGUUUUAGGGUUUCUUUGAGAGUAUGUGAUGAGAAAUUGGUGCAUAAGCUAGAUCUGGAAUUGAAACUCCAGAUCUGAGCUCUAUUUGGAUCGAAAAUGCAGGAAGCCAUGUUAGUUGCUAUGAAAAAGCCUUCCCCAUGAGUUGAGUUCCUCUCUAGCUUGGUUUUUGGUAUUAUGAGGCAAGAAGCACGUAAAGUUAGCAACUUUAUGUUGCUAAUGGACUCUAGGAACCCAGAUCUAUUGUUUGGAGCAAAGGAGAAGCUCUGUGACUUGAAAUUAUGGAAAUGCACGUAUGGACUCGGCGAGUCUGGGAGAUGACUCGGCGAGUCAGGCUAGAUAUCAGACUUAAAUCGCGUAGCAACUCGGCGAGUCACAUGGGUGGACUCGGCGAGUUGGAUGAAGAUAGGAAGGAACUCGACGAGUUGGAAGAACAACUCGGCGAGUCUGUUGAGGAUUGCCUUGAACUCGACGAGCCUGUUCUUGGACUCGGCGAGUCAAGUUGCAAAACCCCAAACCCUUCGAGUUAAGACUCGGAUUAGUGAAUUGAGUGGGGACCCAGUGAGUUGGACAGGUCAGGACUCAGAAAUCAGUAGACUCGGCGAGUCAUGGUCUGACUCGGCGAUUCGAGUCGAGAAGGAAGGAGGUUUCUGAGCUCAUGAACUCGGUGAGUCAGUAGGCUGACUCGGUGAGUAGGGUCAACCUGGAAGGUUGACUGUGACCAGGACUUUGACUUUAACCAGAGUUGACUUAGUGGACUUUUGGAGGGCUUUCAGACUAAGUGUCAUAUUGAUAUUGGUAGUUCGGAGAGCUAGAGGAGCAGCGGCUCAGAGGGUUGUCGGUUAGCAGCCAACGGGUUAUCAGCAGAGCUCAGCAGUUCAGGUGAGUUUCCUUCCAGUAGGAACGGGUCUAAGGCCAUAAUGCCGGCCUGUUUAGCUAGCAGUAGUUUCCGGACUUCGGUCCGAUGUAGUAGUUAUUAUUUUUGAUGCCCUCGUGGCUCAAACAGGAUUUGUGUGUUAUGUGUUCCUGGCUACGGUCCAAUGCAGUAUGCAGUAUAUGUGUGUUCAUGCUAGUUGAUACAUUUAUGUUAUGCUCUAUUCAGUUAGUUCCAGACUUCGGUCCGAUGCAGUUAGUCCAGACUUCGGUCCGAUGCAGGGGACAAGGUCCCAGUCAGUUUCUGGACUUCGGUCCGACGUGNUCCGCACUUUGGUCCAAUGCAGUUAGUCCGGACUUUGGUCCGAUGCAGGGGACAAGGUCCCAGUCAGUUUCCGGACUUCGGUCCGAUGCAGGGGGCAAGGCCCCAGUUAGUCCGAACUUCGGUCCGAUGCAGGGGACAAGGUCCCAGUCAGUUUCCAGACUUCGGUCCGAUGUAGGGGCAAGGCCCUAGUCAGUCCGGACCUCGGUCUGAUGCAGUGGGCAAGGCCCAGUAUGUGCUUUAUAUGUUAUUGUAUGGUAUGUGGUAGAUUAGGGGAGCUCACUAAGCUUCAUGCUUACGGUUUCAGUUUUUGGUUUCACGUACUCAGUUUUCAAAAUAGGAGCUCGGAGAGGUUGCAAUGCAAACACCAUAGUCAGUUAGCCUGGGAAUGUUUGACUCUGAUAAUGAGAUUAUGUUUUGAAUUAAUACUCGAAAAUUAUGUUAUGACUUAUGAUACGGUUUUUAUAAAUAUGGUUUUAGUAAUGUUUUAAAAGAAAUUUUUAGUCGUGAUUUUUGGGUCGUUGUAAGUUGGUAUCAGAGUCUUGGUUUGAAGGAUUCGAACAUACUUGAGAGUGUGUCUGGACUCAAACUAAGGAAACGGUAAAAGGUUUUCAAAAGAAAAACAUUUUCGAAAAGAAUUUUUGAGGAAAGAAAAGAGUUUUAGAAAAAGCGAUAAGAAAUUUUUAGAAAGAAAAGAACUUUGAAAAAAGAAAAAGGGUGUGGUGCAUGCAAUCAGUCGAGCUCAAGUAAGUUUCCCAAAUUACCCAUACAAGUUUAUGUUAUCAGAUUCAGUUUCAGUUUCAGAUCGGUUCAGUUUCAGUUUCAGUAAAACAGCAUGCUAGUAUAGGACUAAGGAUCUAGGAGGAUGCCUUAUGUGUUUUAGCUUGAUAAGAAUUGCAUGCUAGUAUUGAGUAGACAGAGGUAGGAUAGUCUGUGUAGGUUAUGCCUGAUAGUAUGAGCUUAGCAUUAUAUGCUAGUAUAGUCUCUCGUAAUAAGAAUAGUUUCACAUGAGUAUGUUUCCUUUAUCCGAAUGUUGCUCGAUUUGUGCUCUGUGGGGCUCUGAGUGAUGGGAGUUAGCCAUUAGGUGAAUACGUUACGUCACAUGUGGUCAGGGUUGAAUAAUAUCAUAGUGCUAGAUUUGGCCCUAUUGUGCAGCUCUCGUCUGAGUCUAACCGUUGUAGGGACGAGUCUUUUACUCGAAGGAUUAUCCGAGCCUCAUUGCAUGUGAUGGUAUUCAGGUGGUGGCUAAUUGGCAUUACAAGGAGGCCUUCAGCAGCUGAGGACUGGUUUGGGUGGAGUCAGAGGUUCCCUAGGGCA